AACCUGCUGUUGCAGUUAAAGCUCGUAGUUGGAUUUCGGGUGGGGUGGUGCGGUCCGCCUCUGGUGUGCACUGCUCCGCUCCACCUUCCUGCCGGGGACGGGCUCCUGGGCUUCACUGUCUGGGACUCGGAGUCGGCGAGGUUACUUUGAGUAAAUUAGAGUGUUCAAAGCAGGCCUACGCUCUGAAUACAUUAGCAUGGAAUAACACGAUAGGACUCUGGCCUAUCUGUUGGUCUGUGGGACUGGAGUAAUGAUUAAGAGGGGUAGUCGGGGGCAUUCGUAUUCCGUUGUCAGAGGUGAAAUUCUUGGAUUUACGGAAGACGAACAUCUGCGAAAGCAUUUGCCAAGGAUACUUUCAUUGAUCAAGAACGAAAGUUGGGGGCUCGAAGAGA
rnacentral:rRNA from 1 species